rnacentral:rRNA from 1 species
UACGUAGGGUGCGAGCGUUAAUCGGAAUUACUGGGCGUAAAGCGUGCGCAGGCGGUUAUGCAAGACAGAUGUGAAAUCCCCGGGCUUAACCUGGGAACCGCAUUUGUGACUGCAUAGCUGGAGUACGGCAGAGGGGGAUGGAAUUCCGCGUGUAGCAGUGAGAUGCGUAGAUAUGCGGAGGAACACCGAUGGCGAAGGCAGUCCCCUGGGCCUGUACUGACGCUCAUGCACGAAAGCGUGGGGAGCAAACAGG